UACGAAGGGGGCUAGCGUUGUUCGGAAUCACUGGGCGUAAAGCGCACGUAGGCGGAUCUUUAAGUCAGAGGUGAAAUCCCAAGGCUCAACCUUGGAACUGCCUUUGAUACUGGGGAUCUUGAGUCCGGGAGAGGUGAGUGGAACUGCGAGUGUAGAGGUGAAAUUCGUAGAUAUUCGCAAGAACACCAGUGGCGAAGGCGGACUCACUGGCCCGGUACUGACGCUGAGGUGCGAAAGCGUGGGGAGC
rnacentral:rRNA from 1 species